rnacentral:rRNA from 1 species
AUGUGUCUAUUGAGAAAGUCUUGUCCACCGGGAUCAAGUUUUUUGUGUGCGAGCAAUUUGUUGUGGAUAUCAUCGAACUUCAGUACUUGCCCUGAGGAUGCUAAUGAGGACACGGUGAAGACAUAUGCUCGUGUCUACAUGUGGUACGUGAUAUCCAGGACUAUGUUUGCUGAUGGCACAGGCAAGAAUGCUCCAUGGAUGUGGCUGAAGGCGUUGACCGUCUUCGAUAGAAAAUGGAGUUGGGGUUCAGCGACACUGGCUUACUUGUAUCGACAAGUAUGA